rnacentral:rRNA from 1 species
CGUGCCUAAUACAUGCAAGUCGAACGAAUCUUCUUCGGAAGAUGAGUGGCGAACGGGUGAGUAAUACAUAGGUAACCUGCCCCUGUGCGGGGGAUAACAGGAGGAAACUCCUGCUAAUACCGCAUAGCCAUGAGCACCGCAUGGAGCUCAUGCCAAAUAUCCUUUAUGGGAUAGCGCAGGGAUGGACCUAUGGCGCAUUAGCUGGUUGGCGGGGCAACGGCCCACCAAGGCAACGAUGCGUAGCCGGCCUGAGAGGGCGGACGGCCACAUUGGGACUGAGACACGGCCCAGACUCCUACGGGAGGCAGCAGUAGGGAAUUUUCGGCAAUGGGGGAAACCCUGACCGAGCAACGCCGCGUGAGCGAAGAAGGCCUUCGGGUCGUAAAGCUCUGUUGUAAAGGAAGAACGGCGCAUACAGGAAAUGGUAUGCGAGUGACGGUACUUUACCAGAAAGCCACGGCUAACUACGUGCCAGCAGCCGCGGUAAUACGUAGGUGGCGAGCGUUAUCCGGAAUCAUUGGGCGUAAAGAGGGAGCAGGCGGCCGCAAGGGUCUGUGGUGAAAGACCGAAGCUAAACUUCGGUAAGCCAUGGAAACCGGGCGGCUAGAGUGCGGAAGAGGAUCGUGGAAUUCCAUGUGUAGCGGUGAAAUGCGUAGAUAUAUGGAGGAACACCAGUGGCGAAGGCGACGGUCUGGGCCGCAACUGACGCUCAUUCCCGAAAGCGUGGGGAGCAAAUAGGAUUAGAUACCCUAGUAGUCCACGCCGUAAACGAUGGUCACUAAGUGUCGGGGGUCAAACCCCGGUGCUGCAGUCAACGCAAUAAGUGACCCGCCU